rnacentral:rRNA from 1 species
CCUACGGGAGGCUGCAGUGAGGAAUAUUGGUCAAUGGACGAGAGUCUGAACCAGCCAAGUAGCGUGAAGGAUGACUGCCCUAUGGGUUGUAAACUUCUUUUAUAUGGGAAUAAAAUGUUCCACGUGUGGGAUUUUGUAUGUACCAUAUGAAUAAGGAUCGGCUAACUCCGUGCCAGCAGCCGCGGUAAUACGGAGGAUCCGAGCGUUAUCCGGAUUUAUUGGGGUUAAAGGGAGCGUAGGUGGAUUGUUAAGUCAGUUGUGAAAGUUUGCGGCUCAACCGUAAAAUUGCAGUUGAAACUGGCAGUCUGGAGUACAGUAGAGGUGGGCGGAAUUAGUGGUGUAGCGGUGAAAUGCUUAGAUAUCACGAAGAACUCCGAUUGCGAAGGCAGCUCACUGGACUGCAACUGACACUGAGGCUCGAAAGUGUGGGUAUCAAACAGGAUUAGAUACCCUGGUC